rnacentral:rRNA from 1 species
CACGUAGGGUGCGAGCGCUGUCCGGAAUUAUUGGGCGUAAAGAGCUCGUAGGCGGUGUGUCGCGUCGGCCGUGAAAACCUGCAGCUUAACUGUGGGCGUGCGGUCGAUACGGGCAUCACUGGAGUUCGGCAGGGGAGACUGGAAUUCCUGGUGUAGCGGUGAAAUGCGCAGAUAUCAGGAGGAACACCGGUGGCGAAGGCGGGUCUCUGGGCCGUUACUGACGCUGAGGAGCGAAAGCGUGGGGAGCGAACAGG